rnacentral:rRNA from 1 species
AUGGAUGAGGAGCUUCUCGUCGGCGCCCCAGUAAACCUGGACUGCGACCACUACGUGCACAACUCGGCGGCGCUCCGCGAAGGGAUGUGCUACAUGCUUGAGCACAUCCUCGCAGAUCAUGAAGCUGCAGUCACAGGGCGGGUGGACGCCGCCAACGCCGGCAUGUCACAGCCGCACAUCUUGCAGGACAUGUUUGACGGAGGCGGCCGACCGAGCACCGUCGGCGGAGUUGCUGAGCACAUGGGCGCGCGUCGCGCAGUUGAGGCCGCCGAUAUGUGUGAUGUUACUAUCUAUAUUACUCCCAUUGUGGGCAGUCUUUGGGCUCUACAGAACCCAUCCGAUUUUUUUCUGGAGGGGGCUGCGCCCAUUCCUUUGGUCAGUCCACACCCUUUCCUUUCCGAAGGGGUUCCAGGCGACGGCGUUGUCGGGAGUGAGAAGGAAGGAGAGAUCCCCGCAGCGAAGUGA